rnacentral:rRNA from 1 species
UACGGAAGGGGCGAGCGCUGUUCGGAAUCAUUGGGCGUAAAGGACGCGUAGGUGGUUCUGUAUGUCUACCGUGAAAGCGUACGGCUCAACCGUAUUUUGUCGGUAGAAACUGCAGGACUUGAGGCUGGGAGGGGCUGGUGGAAUUCCCUGUGUAGCGGUGAAAUGCGUAGAGAUCGGGAGGAACACCAGAGGCGAAGGCGGCGACCUGGACAAGUACUGACACUCAACUACGAAAGCGUGGGGAGCAAACAGG